GAUGGCGACCGGCGCACGGGUGAGUAACACGUAUCCAACCUGCCGAUAACUCGGGGAUAGCCUUUCGAAAGAAAGAUUAAUAUCCGAUGGUAUAUUAAAACCGCAUGGUUUUACUAUUAAAGAAUUUCGGUUAUCGAUGGGGAUGCGUUCCAUUAGUUUGUUGGCGGGGUAACGGCCCACCAAGACUACGAUGGAUAGGGGUUCUGAGAGGAAGGUCCCCCACAUUGGAACUGAGACACGGUCCAAACUCCUACGGGAGGCAGCAGUGAGGAAUAUUGGUCAAUGGACGAGAGUCUGAACCAGCCAAGUAGCGUGAAGGAUGACUGCCCUAUGGGUUGUAAACUUCUUUUAUAUGGGAAUAAAGUAUUCCACGUGUGGGAUUUUGUAUGUACCAUAUGAAUAAGGAUCGGCUAACUCCGUGCCAGCAGCCGCGGUAAUACGGAGGAUCCGAGCGUUAUCCGGAUUUAUUGGGUUUAAAGGGAGCGUAGGUGGAUUGUUAAGUCAGUUGUGAAAGUUUGCGGCUCAACCGUAAAAUUGCAGUUGAAACUGGCAGUCUUGAGUACAGUAGAGGUGGGCGGAAUUCGUGGUGUAGCGGUGAAAUGCUUAGAUAUCACGAAGAACUCCGAUU
rnacentral:rRNA from 1 species